GAGGAGCAUCACCAUGGCCUAUUUUUUGGGUGGCCCUGCGUGGAGCUAGGAGAUAGACUCAAUGAUCUCGUAAGGGUCCCUUCUAACUCAGGAUGUUUUAUGACUCUAUGUACUUCAUCCCAGAACUCAUCUUCCCUACUCAGACCAUAGAUGGGGACCUUGUGGUGAACAAGGCUUUUCUCAGAGCUCAGCUGGUGUCUGUGAAGGGUGGAGCUGCUGGUGUUCCCCUGCAGAAGCUGUCAGGCAGGCAUGGGGCCGGGAUGCAGCUCAACCCUGCGUCUGUUCUGGAGCCCUAUGAGUCAUACCCAUAGAUGGCUGUGCCAAAACCACAAGCAUGACACUGACCUUUAUAACAGCAUCAGAAACAGGGGAGGAAGAGCAGCAGAAGGGAGUUAGACCAGCAAAUGGAAGAAACACAGCGAACACCUCUGUUCUCUGCAACUUCACUCAUUAACAGUGAAGACACACUUAAAUGGCUGUUCCUGGGGGUUGGUUUGUUGUUUUGUUUUGUUGUGUUUUUCUCCUUUUUUAACAUCCCUAACAGGUAUUUUCUUCAUCGGUUUGCACCCUGGGUAAGCAAACUGGCAUUAACUGAGUGUCCCACAGAGCAUCUGAAUUUAACCCAUCUCUGAAUUAGGGAAUUCCCCAGCCCUGUGCACAGCACCUGCACUCCAUCCCAGGACGUGAUAAGCACAACUUUGUGCAAAUUAGUUCAACUUACAGAGCAGCCUGCUUAGGAAGAUCUGGUGAAGCUGCUGGGAGGCUUUGAAAUGCGUUCCUGAUACUUUGUAGACUGUUCAGCACUGGGGAAAAGGCUGCAUCUGAUAGCACAGACCUGCUUGAGAAACAGUCUGUGUUACCUUGACACUGGAACUUGGUGUUUGUUUUGUUGGUUUGGGUUGUGUGGGGUUUUUUUUUCAGUACAGAGGUCAAAGUUUUCAAGCAUGCUCGGCUGAGCUGCCUGGAAGCAAAUAAAUUGAUAGAAGACUGAGAUGUUUGGAUAAAGUUUGAAAUACUUCCCCACUGCCAAGCCACAGAGAGGUUCAGAUGGGAUCUGUGACCCUUGAGCUGGAGCCCUGGACAAUGUAUGGUUCAGGCAUGGGGAUGCCCUAGCAGUAGGAGCACAUUAGCUCUGAGACAGAUUGUUUAGCAUUUGGAGUGUAUGAAAAGUUUUGUUUCUUGUUUGCUACUUCCCAUAGGUUAAGGCAGAAAGCAAAAGCCAUGAUACCACCUUCCAAAUAUCCCAAGCUCCCCAUAGGUGGCUCCAGUGCCAGUUUGGUGGUAGUGAUUGCAGUGGGGCUGCCAGCUUCCCAGCACACAGACACUGAUUUGAGUGUCUUUCCUUCCUAAGCCCAGCUCUGGCUGUGCUGCUGCUGAAGCCUUAUCAGUUUGCAUGUGGUUCUUUCCCUUCCCUGCAGCAAACCCUGCUUGUUUUGGGCAGAAAUCAAGGCAUUGUGGGAUCCUGUGUCAUAGCAGGGGAAAAAAAUUGGGAUCCUGUCAUUAUCUUUUGGAUCAACAGGCAGGAUCCAGGCAGGAUUACACCUACAGCCAACGAUUCAGUCUAUCAGCUGGUGCAUGAAUACCCCUGUGAGCCUCCAGCUUCACUGACACAUAAGGUCCUGCCUUCGAUCAGGCUUUUGUGUUCUGAGUUCUGUUCUGACUUUUUGGUACCCCAGCCCUAAAAAAAAAAGCAACCAUGCCUGCUGGUUGCACAGCAGGGUGUGAGCAGGCUGUGUUUCUAGGGAUGCACAGAUGAACCAAAGUGAGGUUAGCCUAGAAGGUGAGGAAACUUUCUGCUGGUUCUGUGGUGCUGCUUUUUGGCUUUUAAAAUUCAACUUCCAAGCUGCAAUGUGAGGGAUACUAAAAAUGUCAGCGCGUGUGACACAGA